CCACCACCAAAGCGUUUCGCUUUGUGUGGUGCACAAAGAAGCGUAACGACAGCACUGAAUGACGGUUAACGGAGCGCAAGCGACGUUCAACAUACAAAGUCAAGCAGUGGAGCGCUUUGGGGUGGGGUGACUGCGUACCUUUUGUAUAAUGGGUCAGCGACUUAUAUUCUGUAGCAAGGUUAACCGAAUAGGGGAGCCGGAGGGAAACCGAGUCUUAAUUGGGCGUUAAGUUGCAGGGUAUAGACCCGAAACCCGGUGAUCUAGCCAUGGGCAGGUUGAAGGUUGGGUAACACUAACUGGAGGACCGAACCGACUAAUGUUGAAAAAUUAGCGGAUGACCCGUGGCUGGGGGUGAAAGGCCAAUCAAACCGGGAGAUAGCUGGUUCUCCCCGAAAGCUAUUUAGGUAGCGCCUUGUGAAUUCAUCUCCGGGGGUAGAGCACUGUUUCGGCUAGGGGGCCAUCCCGGCUUACCAA
rnacentral:rRNA from 1 species